rnacentral:rRNA from 1 species
UACGUAGGGUGCAAGCGUUGUCCGGAAUUAUUGGGCGUAAAGAGCUCGUAGGCGGUCUGUUGCGUCGGCUGUGAAAACCCGGGGCUCAACCCCGGGCCUGCAGCCGAUACGGGCAGACUAGAGUUCGGCAGGGGAGACUGGAAUUCCUGGUGUAGCGGUGAAAUGCGCAGAUAUCAGGAGGAACACCGGUGGCGAAGGCGGGUCUCUGGCCGGACUACUGACGCUGAGGAGCGAAAGCGUGGGGAGCGAACAGG